UCUUCGUUUUAUUGAUCCUUUUCCUCCCAGAGAUGGUCACUACUUUUCUUUGUCUCUGUCUGUUGUGUUAUUUGCCCUUUCAUCCUGUUCUGUGUCCUGAGAGCUUGGCUUCAUGACAAGUGAGAACACGCUCUGGUCUCCGCCAUCCAGAAUGUGCACUAAGCAAGGUGUACCUUUGUGGCCAGUUAGAUAGACCGGGGUUCUGAGACACAAAAUCACAAGCAGCACUCUCUUCUUCCAGCUGUGCCAGCUCUCAGGGGAGUUUGUCAUAAGGGAUCUCAGUCCAUAAGAGGCCUUUGUCAUCUCAACUUCAUUGCUUCAUUAGUGCCUGAAAAGCCCCAUUCCAGUAGCUGGUGUCACAGAUUAGUACGUUUGUGACUGGAGGUGUCUCGCAUUUAUGCAGGAGACCAGGGACACCACUUUCGCUAUACCAUUCUUACCACCUGUGGCAACAAAGAUCUUUUAUUUCCUUAAGACUGUCCUCUGGAAUAAACUUUUUGGAUCUUGCGAGGACGUCAUCCUUGGCACUCUCUUGUGGGACACCCCUUGCAUCCUUGGGACCUAAAACCCAUUCUUUGAAAUGCAUACCUUAGAGAGAAAUUUCUCAUCAGAAGGAACUUCAAAGAAGAGUGAUUCAUGAAAAGGAUUCUGACACUUCUGAUAAACUUUCGACCACACCACUGACGUGGGUAAGAAUUUGCAGAACUCUAACAGAGAAACUGAUGGCUUCAUACAACUGCUAACAAAAGACCAAGAUCAACAAGAAUUAAUCACGUUGGACUAACUAAACUAAUGAAGGCCUAACUCUGGGAACCCAGCAACAUCACCGUUUCCUGAAAUGAGACACAACUGUCUAACUGAACUGACCUAUUCACCGGACUGAGUGACUGGUUCGAUGAGAUGGAUGAAACUAUCAAAUUAGCUUUUGGAUUGUGAAACUUCUUGGGGAAGUUUCAAAGGCAGGACUCUAGGGGGACAGAAUUUGCCACCCCAAAAUAUGUCUCUUUGGUGCAAGGAUUAUUUUAGACUGAUUAUU